rnacentral:tRNA from 1 species
AUGGUUGAGCAGUAAAACGCUUGGCUUUUAAACUGAGAGAUUCUGGGUUCGAAUCCUGGU